GACGAACGCUGGCGGCGUGCCUAAUACAUGCAAGUCGAACGCAGUGGGGACGGGUGAGUAACACGUGGGUAACCUCCCAUCAGAGGGGAUAACACUUGGAAACAGGUGCUAAACCGAUACGGAUGGAUGGACUCGGGGUGCUUUAGCUAGUUGGUGAGGUAACGGCUCACCUAGGCCACGAUGCAUAGCCGGCCUGAGAGGAUGAUCAGCCACACUGGGACUGAGACACGGCCCAGACUCCUACGGGAGGCAGCAGUAGGGAAUAUUGGACAAUGGGCGAAAGUCUGACGGAGCAAUGCCGCGUGAAUGAAGAAGGUCUUCGGGUCGUAAAGCACUUUUAUUCGGGAAGCGGUACCGAAAGAAGAAGCCACGGCUAACUCCGUGCCAGCAGCCGCGGUAAUAC
rnacentral:rRNA from 1 species